rnacentral:rRNA from 1 species
UAUUUCCCGAUUUUAAAGGAGUUAGUGGUUUAUUUUAGUUGCUGUUUCAUUAGUAUUAAGAAUAGGCUGUUGGUAGUGAAAUGUUAUUCGUUUUUAGUGGUUUCUGGUUUUUCAAGAAAUGAAUUUAAUUCAUGCGUUUUGUUUAAACUUUUAUUGUUGUUUAUUUGUUUUUAUUGGGCGUUAAGAUUAGGGGGGAUUAGCUCCUUAUUUUAUUUUUAUAAUUUUUGUGUGUAUUUAGUUUUGUGGAUUUUAUAGUGAUUUUCAAUUUGAUUAUGUUAAAAUUUUAUUUGUUUCUUUUGUUAUUUUGGUUUAUUUAAUUGUUUAUAUUGGAAUGUUUCCUUUAUUUUUUGUUGGUUUGUAAUUAUUGUGGAAUUAGUAAAUUUGUUUGUUUGUAUUGUUUAUAUUUUUGUAUAAUUUCUUUUGAGGAAUUAGGCAAAUUUUGUGUCCGCCUGUUUAACAAAAACAUCUUUUCUUGUUAGUUUUUGAAGUAUGGCCUGCCCGCUGACAUUGAGUGUUGAAGGGCCGCGGUAUUUUGACCGUGCAAAGGUAGCAUAAUCAUUAGUUCUUUAAUUGUGAUCUGGAAUGAAUGGCUUGACGAGGCACGGGCUGUCUUAGUGUUGAAUAUUUUAUUGAAUUUGGUCUUUGAGUUAAAAUUCUUAAAUGUUUUUGUGGGACGAGAAGACCCUAUAGAGUUUGACAUUUGGUUUAUUUCCUGUUUGGCUGUUUGUUUGUUUUGUUGGUGAGUGGGCUUUUUGUUUUGUUGGGGUGAUGAGAGGAAUAUGUUUAACUCCUCUUGGUUUUGGUUAUAUUGAUUUAUAGUUGUUUGAU